rnacentral:rRNA from 1 species
AUUGAACGCUGGCGGCAGGCCUAACACAUGCAAGUCGAACGAGUGGCGGACGGGUGAGUAAUGUCUGGGACACUGCCUGAUGGCUGGGGAUAACUACUGGAAACUGUAGCUAAUACCGCAUACCAUCAAAUGUGCCCAGAUGGGAUUAGCUUGUUGGUGGGUUAACGGCUCACCCAGCCGACGAUCCCUAGCUGGUCUGAGAGGAGGACCAGCCAAACGGGGACUGAGACACGGUCCAGACUCCUACGGGAGGCAGCAGUGGGGAAUAUUGCACAAUGGGCGCAAGCCUGAUGCAGCCAGGCCGCGUGUAUGAAGAAGGCCUUCGGGUGGUAAAGUACUUUCAGCGGGGAGGCGUGACCAGCAGAAGAAGAACCGGAUAACUCCGUGCCAGCAGCAGCGGUAAUAC